AGUGAACGCUGGCGGUAGGCCUAACACAUGCAAGUCGAACGGCAGCACAGUAAGAGCUUGCUCUUACGGGUGGCGAGUGGCGGACGGGUGAGGAAUACAUCGGAAUCUACUUUUUCGUGGGGGAUAACGUAGGGAAACUUACGCUAAUACCGCAUACGACCUACGGGUGAAAGCAGGGGAUCUUCGGACCUUGCGCGAUUGAAUGAGCCGAUGUCGGAUUAGCUAGUUGGCGGGGUAAAGGCCCACCAAGGCGACGAUCCGUAGCUGGUCUGAGAGGAUGAUCAGCCGCACUGGAACGGAGACACGGUCCAGACUCCUACGGGAGGCAGCAGUGGGGAAUAUUGGACAAUGGGCGCAAGCCUGGUCCAGCCAUACCGCGUGGGUGAAGAAGGCCUUCGGGUUGUAAAGCCCUUUUGUUGGGAAAGAAAAGCAGCAGGUUAAUACCCCGCUGUUCUGACGGUACCCAAAGAAUAAGCACCGGCUAACUUCGUG
rnacentral:rRNA from 1 species